CACAGGCUUCUGGGGAAAGAGCGGCAUCUUCCGGCUGUGUGGUCUCCUGCUCUUGGCUGCGUGUCUGGGCUUCUACAGCAAUGUUUUCAGCCUGAUUCCCGGAAGGAGGCAGACAGGAAACUCUCAAAGGUAAUGGCGGAGUCUUUGGAUUCAGGGUGGUUCCUUCUAGAAAGAUCCGGAACGGAAAUAGAAAUACACCCCUGAUGGCAAUGGCGAUGGGGAUCCCGUGACCCCGCAGGGGGUGCUGCAGGAAAGGACGCAGCGGAGUGAGAGGGACUGCCCCCCGGACACGUGCAGAGUGCCUGAAGUCCCCAGGU